rnacentral:rRNA from 1 species
CGCGGCCUAUCAGCUUGUUGGUGAGGUAAUGGCUCGCCAAGGCGACGACGGGUAGCCGGCCUGAGAGGGUGACCGGCCACACUGGGACUGAGACACGGCCCAGACUCCUACGGGAGGCAGCAGUGGGGAAUAUUGCACAAUGGGCGAAAGCCUGAUGCAGCAACGCCGCGUGCAGGAUGACGGCCUUCGGGUUGUAAACCGCUUUCAGUGGGGACGAAGCUAACGUGACGGUACCUACAGAAGAAGCACCGGCCAACUACGUGCCAGCAGCCGCGGUGAUACGUAGGGUGCGAGCGUUGUCCGGAAUUAUUGGGCGUAAAGGGAUUGUAGGCGGUUCGUCGCGUCGAAAGUGAAAACUCAGGGCUCAACCCUGAGCCUGCUUUCGAUACGGGCGGACUAGAGGUAUGCAGGGGAGAACGGAAUUCCUGGUGGAGCGGUGGAAUGCGCAGAUAUCAGGAGGAACACCGGUGGCGAAGGCGGUUCUCUGGGCAUUACCUGACGCUGAGAAUCGAAAGCGUGGGGAGCAAACAGGCUUAGAUACCCUGGUAGUCCACGCCGUAAACGGUGGGCACUAGGUGUGGGGGACAUUCCACGUUCUCCGUGCCGAAGCUAACGCAUUAAGUGCCCCGC